rnacentral:lncRNA from 1 species
UCCUAACCUGAACCUCUUCUUCCCUUACCUCGCUGAUGCACCUCCUCCUCUCAACCUCCCUCUUGCUGCUACUUUUAUCCCACUGCUGAGUCUCUCCUCCUCUCCAAAUUGCUGCUGAUGCUCCUUCUCCACUCUGAACUGCUGCUCCUCACCUUCAACUAGUUGUUGUUAAUCUCUCUCUCUCAAUCUCCAUCUGAAAUUGUUGUACUGUUCAGAGGUGUAAUACUUUGUAUUGUUCAGAUUCUAAGUGUACUUGCUCCCCGUACUAGCUAAUUUUACUACUUGUUUUUAGUUGUUUAGUACGUACGAUUUUGUUCAUCUGUGAGUACCAGUCUAGUGGCUUGUUAAUUUUGUUUGUGUUUUCAUUUGUGUAAUUUGAAUCGUCGUGUAGUACCUUCUUCAUAUACGUGUGGUUAUGUGUGUUCU